GCUGGGCAUGGUGGUUCAUGCCUGUAAUCCCAGCACCUUGGGAGGCCGAGGUGGGUGGAUCACCUGAGGUCAGGAGUUUGAGACCAGCCUGGCCAACAUGGUAAAACCCCACCUCUA
rnacentral:SRP_RNA from 1 species